CUGGUACGUGGUAGGUGCUUCAUAAACAUUCCUUCAGCCCCUGGUGCGUGGUAGGUGCUUCAUAAAUAUUCCUUCAGCCCCUGGUGCGUGGUAGAUGCUUGAUAAACAUUUCUUCAGUGCCUGGUACGUGGUAGGUGCUUGAUAAACGUUCCUUCAGUGCCUGGUGUGUGGUAGGUGCUUGAUAAACAUUCCUUCAGCCCCUGGUGGUGGUAGGUGCUUGAUAAACGUUCCUUCAGUGCCUGGUGCGUGGUAGGUGCUUGAUAAACAUUCCUUCAGCCCCUGGUGGUGGUAGGUGCUUGAUAAACGUUCCUUCAGUGUGUAGUAGGUGCUUGAUAAACGUUCCUUCAGUGCCCGGUGCGUGCUAGGUGCUUGAUAAACAUUCCUUCAGUGUGUAGUAGGUGCUUGAUAAACGUUCCUUCAGUGCCC
rnacentral:lncRNA from 1 species